rnacentral:rRNA from 1 species
CAGUCGAGCGGUAGAGAGAAGCUUGCUUCUCUUGACAGCGGCGGACGGGUGAGUAAUGCCUAGGAAUCUGCCUGGUAGUGGGGGAUAACGUUCGGAAACGAACGCUAAUACCGCAUACGUCCUACGGGAGAAAGCAGGGGACCUUCGGGCCUUGCGCUAUCAGAUGAGCCUAGGUCGGAUUAGCUAGUUGGUGGGGUAAUGGCUCACCAAGGCGACGAUCCGUAACUGGUCUGAGAGGAUGAUCAGUCACACUGGAACUGAGACACGGUCCAGACUCCUACGGGAGGCAGCAGUGGGGAAUAUUGGACAAUGGGCGAAAGCCUGAUCCAGCCAUGCCGCGUGUGUGAAGAAGGUCUUCGGAUUGUAAAGCACUUUAAGUUGGGAGGAAGGGCAGUUACCUAAUACGUGAUUGUUUUGACGUUACCGACAGAAUAAGCACCGGCUAACUCUGUGCCAGCAGCCGCGGUAAUACAGAGGGUGCAAGCGUUAAUCGGAAUUACUGGGCGUAAAGCGCGCGUAGGUGGUUUGUUAAGUUGGAUGUGAAAUCCCCGGGCUCAACCUGGGAACUGCAUUCAAAACUGACUGACUAGAGUAUGGUAGAGGGUGGUGGAAUUUCCUGUGUAGCGGUGAAAUGCGUAGAUAUAGGAAGGAACACCAGUGGCGAAGGCGACCACCUGGACUGAAUACUGACACUGAG